rnacentral:misc_RNA from 1 species
GAAAUGCGAUAAGUAAUGUGAAUUGCAGAAUUCAGUGAAUCAUCGAAUCUUUGAACGCACAUUGCGCCCUCUGGUAUUCCGGAGGGCAUGCCUGUUCGAGCGUCAUUUCAACCCUCAAGCCUGGCUUGGUGAUGGGGCACUGCUUUCGUCCAGAAAGCAGGCCCUGAAAUCUAGUGGCGAGCUCGCCAGGACCCCGAGCGUAGUAGUUAUAUCUCGCUCUGGAAGGCCCUGGCGGUGCCCUGCCGUUAAACCCCCAACUUCUGAAAAUUUGACCUCGGAUCAGGUAGGGAUACCCGCUGAACUUAA